rnacentral:rRNA from 1 species
UUCUAGCUUCUACACCAAAAUUAAAUUUUAAUCCAACAUCGARGUCGCAAUCUUUUUUUUCGAUAUGAACUCUCAAAAAAAAUUACGCUGUUAUCCCUAARGUAAUUUUUUCUUGUAAUCUAAAUCUAUAGGAUCAAUUUCUCAUAAAUUAAUGUUUUUAUACAAAAAAAGUUUAUUAAAUUUUUCAAUCACCCCAAUUAAAUAAAUUAUAUAAAAAUAAAAAAUUAUUACUUAAAUUUAAUAAUAGAUAAUUUAUAAAACUCUAUAGGGUCUUCUCGUCUUUUAUUUUCAUUUAAGCUUUUUAACUAAAAAAUAAAAUUUUAAAUAAUUUAAAUAGAGACAGUUAUUUUUUCAUUCAACCUUUCAUUCCAGCUUUCAAUUAAAAAACUACUGAUUAUGCUACCUUUGCACGGUCAAAAUACCGCGGCCAUUUAAAAUUUCAUUGGGCAGGUUAGACUUUAAAUUAUUUUCAAAAA